UGGACAGAUGCUGACUCCAAGGCCUGGAUUGGCCUGAUUCUGUCCCUGUUGUGUGGCCUCCUCUCCAUAACCUCCACCCCACUUGGUGUCAAAUACACUCAGGAGGACCUGUGCAGCCCUGCUGCCCUCUGAUCACAGGUUGUGGUCCCCUCCCUCUUGUCCCACUCUGGACUCUGCCCCCAGUAAACAGGUCAGAACUUCGUGGCUGACUUCAUG
rnacentral:lncRNA from 1 species